rnacentral:rRNA from 1 species
UGCGUAGGCGGAUUAAUAAGUCAGUGGUGAAAACCUGCAGCUUAACUGUAGAACUGCCAUUGAUACUGUUAGUCUUGAGUACGGUCAAGGUAGGCGGAAUGUGUAAUGUAGCGGUGAAAUGCUUAGAUAUUACACAGAACACCGAUUGCGAAGGCAGCUUACUGGACCAUUACUGACGCUGAGGCACGAAAGCGUGGGGGACUAACAGGAUUAGAUACCCUGGUAGUCC